CUCUAUCUAUAUAUUCUAUAUAUGUAUAAAUCUGUUAUUGUAAAUUUUUAUUGUGAUAUUAGAUGAGGCUUGAGGAUGCUGAGAGGAGCUUGGACUAGAUCAAGCUGCAGCUAGCUUUGGGCUUUAGUCGAAAUUUUCUACAGGUUCCACUUCUAUAGUUCUCUGAGAUGGUUUCAUGACAGGGUUGCAAACAAAAUGAUUCCUGAUAAAUGUAGAAUGAUGUUUACUAGCAUCAUAAACACAUAAAUCUAAGGAGGUCAUUCAUGUUUUUGCUACUGAGCACACCAAGAAUGAAGAAUUAACUAAUUAUUAGCCAUUUCUUCAAUAGUAGGGUGCAACUUUUUAUGUAAACAUUUUUUUAUGCAUAAUAAAGUGCUACUGGAUAAUCUAGAGUUGGACCUUUCAAAACAAUGUAUCCAUUUAUUCUUGGUGUUGUGAAAGGGGAGGCAGUUGUGAGCAAUAGACAUAGAGUUGAUUUGUUCAUAGAAGAAUUAUCCAGAGACUUUUUGGAUUCCAGAGAAACCUCUGGAGAAAGGGUAACCAAAAGGUAGAGCAGCCCCUAAAGCUAUCAGCUUCAAUGCUACAACUAUUGUCAGUGUUCAGAAACUUUUGAUCGCAAGAUCUCUUCAAAGGUACAUAUAUGUGUGUACAUAAACAUCGUUAAAUUUUUUUGAUUAUGCACUUUGGCAUUGUUUGGGGUACUAGUGACUCAAAUGAAGAACCCCUUGUAACCAGUUAAUGUUGGUAAAGACUUGCUUUUUAAUGUUUGAUUAUGUCUUUGCAUUUUAAUCUUAAAAACUA